rnacentral:rRNA from 1 species
AGGAUAAACGCUGGCGGCGUGCUUAACACAUGCAAGUCGAACGGAAAGGCCCUUUCGGGGUACUCGAGUGGCGAACGGGUGAGUAACACGUGGGUGAUCUGCCCUGCACUUCGGGAUAAGCUUGGGAAACUGGGUCUAAUACCGGAUAGGACUACGGACUUCAUGGUUUGUGGUGGAAAGCUUUUGCGGUGUGGGAUGGGCCCGCGGCCUAUCAGCUUGUUGGUGGGGUGAUGGCCUACCAAGGCGACGACGGGUA